UACAGAGGGUGCGAGCGUUGUCCGGAAUCACUGGGCGUAAAGGGCGCGUAGGUGGCGCUGCAAGUCGGUGGUGAAAGCUCGAUGCUUAACAUCGAGUCGGCCAUCGAAACUGCAGGGCUCGAGCACUGUAGGGCAGAUGGGAAUUCCGGGUGUAGCGGUGGAAUGCGUAGAGAUCCGGAAGAACACCGGUGGCGAAGGCGGUCUGCUGGGCAGUUGCUGACGCUGAGGAGCGAAAGCGUGGGGAGCGAACAGG
rnacentral:rRNA from 1 species